GCUUUUUGCUCUUGGUUUUGCACUUUGCAGACGGUCCCUAUCCUGCACUUUUACAUUAUAAGGUCUAUCAGUUACAAUACCUUAAGGCAGAUUAAAACAAAUAAAACACAUUGUGUGUUCUCUUCUACAUUUGAAAACAAUUAUAACACAUUAUGUUUCUUGUCCUUGUGCUAAAUCGUUAAAGAACUAUUGAAGAUUUCCGAGGCUGAAUCUCUGACAAAUGUCAAACGUCGAACCAACUUUAUAUCGGUCUGUGUUUGUAAUGUCCAGUAAUGAUUAACUUCUCAGCAGAUGUCCAGUAAUUUGCUCUGAAGAUUUGCUCUGAAGUCACAGUGAAGAUGACUGAAAGAUUGUUUGAAGAGAAACGACAUGCCUCACUCUAUCAAAAAUAUCGAUUUGGUCCACCUGAUGAGCUGAAGAAGCUUAUUCUCCAUUAUCUGGACAAAAAGGAAAGCCCCAUCAUCUAGCUGUGGAUUUGGGCUGUGGAACGGGGCAGAACUCUCGUACCCUGAUGGCGUAUUUUGAGCAGGUGGUGGGCAUUGACGUCAGUGAAUCUCAGGUGGAGCAGGCGAGAGCAGUGCCAGGCUUCCCUAACCUCAGCUACAGAGUAGGCACAGCAGAGGAGCUGCCAUC